UACGUAGGGUGCAAGCGUUAAUCGGAAUUACUGGGCGUAAAGCGUGCGCAGGCGGUUAUGCAAGACAGAUGUGAAAUCCCCGGGCUCAACCUGGGAACUGCAUUUGUGACUGCAUGGCUAGAGUGCGGCAGGAGGGGGAUGGAAUUCCGCGUGUAGCAGUGAAAUGCGUAGAUAUGCGGAGGAACACCGGAUGGCGAAGGCAAUCCCCUGGACCUGGUACUGACG
rnacentral:rRNA from 1 species